rnacentral:rRNA from 1 species
GCCAGCAUCCAUGUCACCCUGCAACUUACAAUUGGCAACCCACUGAAGCUAAGCAGGUGUGAGCCUGGUCAGUACCUGGAUGGGAGAGAUCCUGGGAAAAGCUAAGGUUGCUGCUGGAA